AUACGUAGGUGACAAGCGUUAUCCGGAUUUACUGGGCGUAAAGGGCGUGUAGGCGGUCUUACAAGUCAGAAGUGAAAUUCCUGAGCUCAACUCGGGCGCUGCUUCUGACACUGCAGGACUUGAGUGCUGGAGGGGAUAGCGGAAUUCCUAGUGGAGCGGUAAAAUGCGCAGAUAUUAGGAAGAACACCGGUGGCGAAGGCGGGUAACUGGACUGCAACUGACGCUGAGGCGCGAAAGUGUGGGGAGCAAACAGGAUUAGAUACCCUGGUAGUCCACACUGUAAACGAUGAAUGCUAGGUGUAAGAGGUAUCGACCCCUUUUGUGCCGGAGUUAACACAAUAAGCAUUCCGCCUGGGGAGUACGGCCGCAAGGUUGAAACUCAAAUGAAUCGGCGGGG
rnacentral:rRNA from 1 species